rnacentral:rRNA from 1 species
AUGGAGCAAGCUACUUACUACCUGUGCCUCCUCCUGGCUCUACUCCUCCCGCUCCUGCUCCUCAAGCUGAGCAGGAAGCGUGGCGGCGCCGUGCGCCUGCCGCCCGGCCCGUGGCGGCUGCCGGUCAUCGGCAGCCUGCACCACCUCGCCAGCAGCCCGCUCGCGCACCGCGUCAUGGCCGACCUCGCGCGCCGGCUGGACGCGCCGCUCAUGUACCUCAAGCUCGGGGAGGUCUCCGUCGUCGUCGCCUCGUCCCCGGAGGCCGCGCGCGAGGUCAUGAAGACGUACGACGUCGCCCUGGCGAGCCGGCCGUGGAACCCGACCAUCAAGAUCAUGAUGUCCGACGGGCAAGGGCUCGUCUUCGGCCGCUACGGCGCCCUCUGGCGGCAGCUCCGGAAGAUAUGCAUCCUGGAGCUGCUCAGCGCGCGCCGCGUGCAGUCGUUCCGCCAGAUCCGGGAGGACGAGGUCGGCCGCCUCGUGGCCGCCAUCGCGGCCGCGCCGCCCGGCCAGCUCGUGAACGUCAGCGAGCGGAUCGCCGUGCUCAUCACCGACUCCGCCGUGCGCACCAUGAUCGGGGACAGGUUUCAGAGGAGGGAGGAGUUCUUGCAGGUCCUCGAGGAGGGGGUCAAGCUCGUCACCGGGUUCAGCCUCGGCGACCUGUUCCCGUCGUCGUGGCUCGCCAACUUCAUAAGCGGCACGGCGCGGAUGGCCGAGGAGGUUCACCGGAAGAGCUUCGAGCUCAUGGAGUAUGCCAUCAAGCAACACGAGGACAAGAGGGCCGUGGGGGAUGGAGAGGACCUGGUGGACGUGCUCUUGAGGAUACAGAAAGAAGGCGGCCUCGAGGUGCCUCUCACCAUGGGAAUCAUCAAAGCAAGUAUCCUGGACCUCUUUAGUGCCGGGAGUGAGACGUCCGCAACGACACUCCAAUGGGCCAUGUCGGAGCUCAUGAGAUACCCAAACGUCAUGCAGAAAGCACAGGCCGAAGUACGCGAUUGCCUCGGAGAAAAGCACAUGGUGACUGAGGAUGACUUGGCUGACCUAAAAUACCUCAGACUCGUCAUCAAGGAGACAUUGAGGCUGCAUCCACCAGCCCCGCUGCUUAUUCCACGGGAGGCUAUGGAGUCCUGCAAAAUCCUAGGGUACGACGUGCCAAAGGGCACGACCGUGCUUGUGAAUGCGUGGGCGAUCGGUAGGGACCCUAAGCACUGGGACAACCCCGAGGAAUUUAAGCCACAGAGGUUCGAGUCUGGCAUCAUCGACUUCAAAGGCACGGACUUCGAGUACAUACCGUUUGGGGCGGGGAGAAGGAUGUGUCCUGGUAUGACAUUUGCACAGGCCAGCAUGGAGAUUGUUCUCGCCGCACUUCUCUACCACUUCGACUGGGAGCUCCCGUCGGGGCUGAAGCCAGGUGAGGUCGACAUGGUGGAGGACAUGGGCAUCACCGUCCGGAGGAAGAACGACUUGUACCUGCACGCCAUCGUCCGUGUGUCGCCUGUUUGA